rnacentral:tRNA from 1 species
GGAUGGGUGGCCGAGUGGUUGAAGGCACUGGUCUUGAAAACCAGCAAAAGGGCGACCUUUUCGUGGGUUCGAAUCCCACCCCAUCCGCCA